rnacentral:rRNA from 1 species
AAUAUUGGAUAAUGGGGGCAACCCUGAUCCAGCCAUGCCGCGUGUGUGAAGAAGGUCUUCGGAUUGUAAAGCACUCUAAGUUGGGAGGAAGGGCUUUAGGUUAAUACCCUGAAGUUUUGACGUUACCAACAGAAUAAGCACCGGCCAACUCUGUGCAAGCAGCCGCGGUAAUACAGAGGGUGCAAGCGUUAAUCGGAAUUACUGGGCGUAAAGGGCGCGUAGGUGGUUCAGUAAGAUGGCGGUGAAAUCCCCGGGCUUAACCUGGGAACUUCUUUCAUCACUGCUGAGCAAGAGUACGGUAGAGGGUAGUGGAAUUUCCUGUGUAGCGGUGAAAUGCGUAGAUAUAGGAAGGAACACAAGUGGCGAAGGCGACUACCUGGACUGAUACUGACACUGAGGUGCGAAAGCGUGGGGAGCAAACA